rnacentral:piRNA from 2 species
UGGUAGAGUGAGCAGUUAACCUCUAGCC